rnacentral:rRNA from 1 species
UUGCAGUUAAAAAGCUCGUAGUUGAACCUUGGGCCUGGCUGGCCGGUCCGCCUCACCGCGUGUACUGGUCCGGCCGGGCCUUUCCUUCUGGGGAGCCGCAUGCCCUUCACUGGGCGUGUCGGGGAACCAGGACUUUUACUUUGAAAAAAUUAGAGUGUUCAAAGCAGGCCUUUGCUCGAAUACAUUAGCAUGGAAUAAUAGAAUAGGACGUGUGGUUCUAUUUUGUUGGUUUCUAGGACCGCCGUAAUGAUUAAUAGGGAUAGUCGGGGGCGUCAGUAUUCAAUUGUCAGAGGUGAAAUUCUUGGA